UCAUGCGGUGGAUAUGCGACAAUUAAACCUUUAUUUUCUAUUUAAAUAUUUAUAAACGUGAAUAUACGACUUGCUUUAACGAUACAAGCGUUAAUUCGUUACUGAUAGGAUCAUGCGGCAGCAAUGAAUAGGACACUCCUCGUUCUCUGGUUGCUUGAUGUGGCGACUGCAGAAGUGGCUCAGCAAAGCGUCUUCGUUGGAGCAAACAACCCUGCAUUCUGGACACCGAUUGUGCGCCUCCUUUAAAUAUAAAACUUUGUGAAACAUAAAAAUAUAUUUAACAUUUAUUUUUCAUCAUUUUAACCAAUAAAUACCUACUAAACAAGAACUUUGACAUUAACUUAGAUAAGAAAACAUAUAUAUUAUUUUCAAUUAAAUUGUUAAACAAGAGCUGUCUCCAUAGGAUGACGUAUGCCCCCAAUAAAUGCUUUGAUAGAAAUUAUGAGCAUUUUUCGAACCCUAAACGCGGACCCUAAGGUCAAGGUCAUGGGGUAAAAAUUUGUGUGGGUAUGGAAAGGCCUUGUCCAUAUACACAUGCAUAUCAAAUAUGAAUGUUACAUCUGAAGCGACAAAAGAAGUUAUGAGCAUUUUUCGAAACCUAAACACAAAGUGUGACGGACAGACAGACAUCAGACAAACAGACAGAAGGACAGUUCGAUCACUAUAUGCCCUCCUU